rnacentral:rRNA from 1 species
CCUACGGGGGGCUGCAGUCGGGAAUUUUGGGCAAUGGGCGAAAGCCUGACCCAGCAACGCCGCGUGAAGGAUGAAAUCCCUCGGGAUGUAAACUUCGCAAAUGAGAGUUGCGGUACCAUUUGUAAGCUCCGGCUAACUUCGUGCCAGCAGCCGCGGUAAUACGAGGGGAGCAAGCGUUGUUCGGAUUUACUGGGCGUAAAGGGCGCGUAGGCGGCCACGCAAGUCACUUGUGAAAUCUCCGGGCUUAACCCGGAAAGGUCAAGUGAUACUGUCGGGCUAGAGUGCAGAAGGGGCAACUGGAAUUCUCGGUGUAGCGGUGAAAUGCGUAGAUAUCGAGAGGAACACCUGCGGCGAAGGCGGGUUGCUGGGCUGAACUGACGCUGAGGCGCGAAAGCCAGGGGAGCGAACGGGAUUAGAUACCCUUGUAGUC